UGGUGUGAACUGUCCUGAGUGGAUAAUGGCAAUGGAGGCUUGUAACAGCCAAGCAAUUUCAUAUGUACCACUUUAUGAUUCUCUUGGUGCAAAUGCAGUUGAAUUCAUCAUGAACCAC